rnacentral:rRNA from 1 species
UACAUGUGGGGCAAGCGUUGUUCGGAAUUACUGGGCAUGAAGGGUGCGUAGGUGGUUUGUUAAGUCAGGGGUGAAAUCCCGCGGCCCAACCGUGGAACUGCCUUUGAUACUGGCGAACUUGAGUGCGUGAGGGGUAGGGGGAACGAGCAGUGUAGCGGUGAAAUGCGUAGAUAUUGCUCGGAAGGCCAGAGCCGAAGGGGCCCUACUGGUGCGCAACUGACACUGAGGCACGAAAGCGUGGGGAGCAAACAGG